rnacentral:rRNA from 1 species
UGCGCAAGUCGCAGGUCUGUACGAAACCCGGAGGCGCAAUAAAAGUGAAGGCCGGACUAGCGCCGGCUCAGGUGGGAUCCCGGGGCGAGAGAUCGUGACGGGCGCACCACCGGCCCGUCUCAGCAGUCGCAUCUGCGAGGCGGAGCUAGAGCGUACUUGUUGGGACCCGAAAGAUGGUGAACUAUGCCUGAGUAGGACGAAGCCAGAGGAAACUCUG